GAUGAACGCUGGCGGCGUGCCUAAUACAUGCAAGUCGAGCGGUAACACUUCGGGUGACGAGCGGCGGACGGCAGAGUAACGCGUAGGAACGUACCCCAAACUGAGGGAUAAGCACCGGAAACGGUGUCUAAUACCGCAUGUGAUCUUCGGAUUAAAGCUACGGCGGUUUGGGAACGGCCUGCGUAUGAUUAGCUUGUUGGUGAGGUAAAAGCUCACCAAGGCGACGAUCAUUAGCUGGUCUGAGAGGAUGAUCAGCCUGACUGGGACUGAGACACGGCCCAGACUCCUACGGGAGGCAGCAGUAGGGAAUCUUCCACAAUGGGCGAAAGCCUGAUGGAGCAACGCCGCGUGCAGGAUGAAGGCUUUCGGGUCGUAAACUGCUUUUAUCUGUGAAGACUUCGACGGUAGCAGAUGAAUAAGGAUCGGCUAACUCCGUGCCAGCAGCCGCGGUCAUACGGAGGAUCCAAGCGUUAUCCGGAAUUACUGGGACG
rnacentral:rRNA from 1 species